rnacentral:rRNA from 1 species
UACGUAGGUGGCAAGCGUUGUCCGGAUUUAUUGGGUUUAAAGGGUGCGUAGGCGGCCCUGUAAGUCAGUGGUGAAAUAUCUCAGCUUAACUGAGAGGGUGCCAUUGAUACUGCGGGGCUUGAGUACAGAUGAGGUAGGCGGAAUUGACGGUGUAGCGGUGAAAUGCAUAGAUAUCGUCAAGAACACCGAUAGCGAAGGCAGCUUACCAAGCUGUAACUGACGCUGAGGCACGAAAGCGUGGGGAGCGAACAGG